UACGUAGGGCGCGAGCGUUGUCCGGAAUUAUUGGGCGUAAAGAGCUCGUAGGCGGCUUGUCGCGUCGAAUGUGAAACCUCCAGGCUCAACCUGGAGACGCCACCCGAUACUGCUGUGACUAGAGUCCGGUAGGGGAGCGUGGAAUUCCUGGUGUAGCGGUGAAAUGCGCAGAUAUCAGGAGGAACACCGAUGGCGAAGGCAGGUCUCUGGGCCACUACUGACGCUGAGAAGCGAAAGCAUGGGGAGCGAACAGG
rnacentral:rRNA from 1 species